rnacentral:lncRNA from 10 species
GUCUUAAAUAGCUAAAUAUAUGCAAGAACAGCCUUCUCUAUUUCUCUGGACCAUGUGGUGAAACCACUAGGUGCCUCUGAGUAUCCAUAAUACAGGAGCAUUCAGCACUCAGCAUUCCAGGAGAGAUGAAGUACAUCUUUUGUAACACCAAUUUGAAUUCCCAGGAAGGGGCAGCUGUAUGAAUAAAUCUGAUACAGGUACCCAAGUCUGGACCAAUCAGCUGCAUCCAGGGGUGCAACAACAUAUGGCUUCAGUGUGGUGCCUGCCCAGAGGACAAACAUUUAUGAAAGAAGGGAUGAUUGCUCUGAGAUACCCACACUGACCUACAGUUCUCACUGUGGAUGUGUUAAAUGAAUAAAAAGGAAGUCAUAUUCAGUUCUCCUGUUGUGACUCAUGUAUUCCUCCUGGACAGAAUAUUUUUUUCUACCUGAAUUAUUUUAAGAAAAACAUGUAGAAUUAAUAGAACGGCCAAAUGUAUUUAGGAGUAGAGGAGAUUAUUAGAAUUUUAUCUUUCUUUCAACUUACACUAUUUGUCAUAAGAGUUAGAUGUUUAUGGGCACCAAUCCCACCUCUUCCACUUAGUUUUGCAUGCUUCACAUAUGCUAUUUCCC